CGGACGCCAAGGCGCGGGGCGCGGCAAAGGGGGCGCGGGGCCCGGGGCGGCGGCGGGAGCGGCCGGGCGACCUCGGAGCCGGGCCCGCAGCGCCGAGCGGCCGCCCGAGCCGCGGAAGGAGGUCCUCAGCCCGGCUUUUGAGAUGAUGGGAUUGGGAAAGGGGCGCCGCAGCAUGAAGUCGCCGCCCCUCGUGUUGGCUGCCCUGGUGGCCUGCAUCAUCGUCCUGGGCUUCAACUAUUGGAUUGCGAGCUCGCGAAGUGUGGAUCUCCAGACGCGGAUCCUGGAGCUGGAAGGCAGGGUCCGCAGGGCGGCCGCGGAGAGGGGCGCCGUGGAGCUGAAGAAGAAUGAGUUCCAGGGAGAGCUGGAAAAGCAACGGGAACAGCUCGACAAAAUCCAGUCCAGCCACAACUUUCAGCUGGAGAGCGUCAACAAGCUGUACCAGGACGAAAAGGCGGUUCUGGUGAAUAACAUCACCACGGGUGAGAGGCUCAUCAGAGUCCUGCAGGACCAGUUAAAGACUCUGCAGAGGAAUUAUGGCAGGCUGCAGCAGGAUGUCCUCCAGUUUCAGAAGAACCAGACCAACCUGGAGAGGAAGUUCUCCUAUGACCUGAGCCAGUGCAUCAAUCAGAUGAAGGAAGUGAAGGAGCAAUGUGAGGAGCGAAUAGAAGAGGUCACCAAAAAGGGAAAUGAAGCUGUAGUUUCCAGAGACCUGAGUGAAAAAAAAGACCCAAGUCAGCAGCUCCAAACUCUCAGCAAGCCUCAGCCCAGGCUGCAGGGAGCAGGCCUGCCACGGGCAGAGGUGCCACAAAGGGAAGGAAACACACCCAGUGAUGGUGAGUCCCAGAUGCCAACCCCCAGUUCUAAGGUGGCUUUGGAAUUGAAGAGUCGAGGUGAGAAAGAGGAAACUAAUGAGAUCCAGUUUGUCAGCGAGAAGGAGCCUCAGAGGGACAGCCUGGGGCUGCUGCAGGAGCCAGGCCAGGAGCAGGCUGUGGAGGACAGACCUGUGGGCGGAAGAGACUUGGGGAGAGCCAGAGAACUAAGCCGAACCCCACAAGUACCAGCUGCCCUGUUGCUGAGCCAGGAAAAUCAGGAGACUGAAGACCCUGAGCGGGACCAGCUUGUCAUUCCCGAUGGGCAGGAGGAGGAGCAGGAUGCUGCUGAGGAAGGGAGAAACGAGCAAAAACUGGGAGGAGAUGAUGACUACAACAUGGAUGAAAAUGAGGCGGAAUCUGAAACAGACAAACAGGCAGCCCUUGCAGGGAAUGACAAAAACCUAAAUGUUUUUAUUGCUGAAGAUCAGAAAAGAGACGCCAUAAAUUUAUUUGAUCAGCGUGAAAAGCAGAAUCAUACACUCUGAAUUGAGCUGGAAUUCACAUAUUUUACUUCAGGACCGAAGACAACCCUACAAAAUAUUCAUGAGGGACUGGAUACUCAAAGCUGUGAAAUGUACUAAGUAAAAUGUACAUCUAAAGAUGAUUAUUGUGGAAAUGAGGACAUACUUUAUGUAGGAAAAAUUGGACUUUAAGAUGGUUUGGGGGGGUACUUUUGAACUAUCUAAUAAAAUUUGUCAAAA